rnacentral:rRNA from 1 species
CAGUCGCCACGGGAAUACGAAGGGUGCAAGCGUUAAUCGGAAUUACUGGGCGUAAAGCGCGCGUAGGUGGUUUGGUAAGAUGGAUGUGAAAUCCCCGGGCUCAACCUGGGAACUGCAUCCAUAACUGCCUGACUAGAGUACGGUAGAGGGUGGUGGAAUUUCCUGUGUAGCGGUGAAAUGCGUAGAUAUAGGAAGGAACACCAGUGGCGAAGGCGACCACCUGGACUGAUACUGACACUGAGGUGCGAAAGCGUGGGGAGCAAACAGGAUUAGAUACCCCCGUAGUCCCUGUCUCUUAUAC